UCAAACUUGGUCAUUUAGAGGAAGUAAAAGUCAUAACAAGGUUUCCGUAGGUGAACCUGCGGAAGGAUCAUUAGUGAACCUUUGGGAGUCGGCCGGCCCUUGUGGUCUGUCGGCCUCGCCCUGAACUGGCCCCCCCCUCCCCAUGGUGGGGGGUCGAAAGGGCUUCACUCAUCCCUCACCUGUGAACUGUCGUGGGGCCCUCUCGCGAGGUCCACGCGUCUUCUACCAAACUUCUGGUGGUCAAAGAUGUUGCUCUUGUCAUGAUCUAUUAAAACUUUCAACGACGGAUCUCUUGGCUCUCGCAUCGAUGAAGAACGCAGC
rnacentral:misc_RNA from 1 species